CUACCAUGGCUUUCACGGGUAACGGAGGAUUAGGGUUCGAUUCCGGAGAGGGAGCCUGAGAAACGGCUACCACUUCCACGGAAGGCAGCAGGCGCGUAAAUUACCCAAUCCUGAUUCAGGGAGGUAGUGACAAGAAAUAAUGGGUCGGGGUUUCGCCCCGGGACUGCAAUGAGACGAAUUUAGACCCCUUAUCGAGGACCAAUUGGAGGGCAAGUCUGGUGCCAGCAGCCGCGGUAAUUCCAGCUCCAAUAGCGUAUAUUAAAGUUGUUGCAGUUAAAAAGCUCGUAGUUGGAUUUCUGGUAGAAGGAUCGAGCGCACCUGCGUGAUGCUCGCGUCUUCUGCCAUCCUUCUGUUAACCUUUCUCGGCAUUCACUUGUCGGCUAGGGGCUCAGAUAUUUUACCUUGAGAAAAUUAGAGUGUUUCAGGCAGGCUUAUGCCCGGAUACAUUAGCAUGGGAUAAUAGAACAGGACUUCGCUUCUUCUGUUGGUUUGAGGGGUUGAAGUAAUGGUUAAUAGGGAUAGUUGGGGGCAUUAGUACUUAACUGUCAGAGGUGAAAUUCUCGGAUUUGUUAAAGACUGACUUAUGCGAAAGCAUUUGCCAAGGAUGUUUUCAUUAAUCAA
rnacentral:rRNA from 1 species